AGCUGUCGCUUUGUUUUCUGAACAUCCACUUCUGUUUCCUGUGGCAACACCUGCUGAUAAAUACGUAGCUGGCUACCCAAACGGACACUGCCCGCACCCCCCAGGCGCUCUCCUCCGCAGGCCCGCGCAGACCCAGUUAACAUUGGAAAUGAAGAGCCCACUGUGAUGGUGUGAGGAUGCCCCCCCCCCCCGCCCCCAAACAUGUGAAAAUAACUCAGCAAAAAACAGAGCAGCUGCCUGGUCAUCUUCCCCAUCGCUGGGAUUUCUUCAGGUAACCAAUAAAUAGCUUGAGGAGGCAGAAGAAAGAUACCCUGAAGACUUUCUCCUCCGGGCUUCUUUUCCAGCGUUAGCCAUGGCACUUCUGUUCUACGCUUGAAGCCACGCAACAUGCAUUCCCCGGGGCCGAGGAGCAUAGAGUUGGUAGAGGGAGUCAAUGUUUCCAGAAGAAACUGUGCCACUCCAAAGGGAAAUUAGAAAAGGAGAAAGUGACCCUUGAAUAAAGAAGAGUUUAUUCAUUUAAAGACCCCUCUCCGGGAUUCUUGGCAGGAAGAGUUCACUUUCCUGCUGCAUCGGGGAUUGGAAGGCUAUUCCUCUGUCCAUGGUCCUAUUCCUCUGCUUCAAACAACUUUAGAAGAAUCCAGAGGGAGGUUCAAAUCUGCAAUGUAGAAAAGCAUUGAAGUGUUCUAGAUACAGCUGAGAAGCUGAGAGAAGACGGAAUUUGUGGGUAUAGCAGAUCUUUGGAAUCUUUGAAAAGAAGUUCUGUCUGCAGUAGAUCCCACCAGCAGAAGGGGAUCCUGCUGGACAGCCAUUCUUUUCAAUAUUGAUGAACGGCAUCUAUCCGUGGAGUGAGCUCCACUUGAGCUGAAGCCUGCUUGGUAAGAAUGACACUAUCAUCUCCCUAACAUUUCAUAUUUUGAAAGAAAGUCCUUCCCAUUCCUAAUGCUUCUCAUCAUUUUUUUCCCAACACUCCUGUAAGACCAGUCACCAUUCACCUGUGCUUUUAUAGCGAUGAAGAGAGACUAACAAACUCAGUAACUCAACUGAGAAAGAUAUUUUAUGGGCAGCCCAUAGUAAUCGCCUAUCUUUUAAAAAGAAACAACAUUUCUUGAGAUCCCAGGAGGUGUCUGGCACUACCCGAAGUGGUAUGAGCAUGAGAGUGCAGAACAUAAUGUUUGGGAACAUAAUGUUCCUCCGGGGACUUAAAAAUUAAUGCAGAUCCAAAACUGUUUAAAAAAAUGUGGGUUGUAAUAAAUUACGGGAAAACAAAGUGAAAGGUGUAGGGGCAAAAAUCCCAAGCAUAGUGAUGAACUAGAGAACAUGGAAAUGGAAUAUGAUGAGCCAAUUAACCUCAGGAGGACAGAGACUCACGGUAUGGGCAGAAUACAAGACACUUAUCUUGAGAAGUCAAUUUUGCAGACUCAGUUACUUGUCCACACACACAAAAUCAAUAGCUAUUUCUGAUAGGCUGCUGGCAAAAAAAAAAAAAUACUGUUCUUUUCUAUAGAUGGAGUCUAAACCAUCCAGCAUACAAUAAAGUGUUUAAGAGAAAAAAUAUAUGUGGGCUGGCAAGCUUUCAAUCUACAAAGCUGGUGAUCUAGUUUUGGGUGAUAGCUCUAAUGGAAAUAGGUGCAAUUGGGUUUGUAGAUACUGAUUUUUAUCAGCAACCAGAAACUGUGCUAAAAGCUCAAUUUGGCCUACUUUAGGUUCCCCGGGUAAGUUAGCGAGGGAAUUUUCAUUAGGUUAUUUGUGAUAUGUCAAAAGAAGAAAUAAAGCAAUGCAUGAACACUGUGAUAUGUAGGUGAGAAGGUAUCUUAAUAGAAAUACUACUCUAGUCUAGAACAGUGUUUCUCCACCAAGGUGAUGGAAAGUACUGGGAAAUGCAGAGACCUAACUUGUCCUCAGACUGAGCUUUCUUCAUUGCCCCAGCUUUCCCGUUUUAAUAACUUCAACCUUGCUAACCUGCCAGUACUAGGGAAGUCAGUUUCAUGUACUGAUGUCAGCCUUUGAUUUGGACUCCCUCAUGGUCAUUGCAACUUUGUUCACUUUUGUAAUUAUUUUUUCACAUUUUCUUGUUUUACAGCAAUACGAAAAGAUAAAAAUACCUAGAAAUGUUUUUUUUUUCCCAAUGUUGAAGGGAAUAAUUUAGACAGUCACUUCCACAUGGAUAUCUAAUAGGCAUCUCAAACUGAGUACGGCCAAAAGAGAAGUCUUGAUUCUUUCUCUUAAUCUUCUUGAAUCAAACAACCCCAAGAGGCUUAAAUAGAGUUUUACUUUUUUCAUAAAGAGAUGUCUGGAAAUAGAUUAUUUCUGGUGUUAAUUCAGCUGCUCAACUACACCAUCAAGGACCUAGGUAGUUUCUCUUUUUUCCUGUCACUAUCCUUAACAUGUUGGCCUUUAAUUAUCCUGUCUUUUAUUUUGUAGUCACAAGAUGGCUGCUGUGACUCCAGGCAUCGUGAUGGUGCUCAAGAUAGCCAAAUCUGUCCCCAGAAGCCUUUCUCUUAGGUCUCGUUAGCCAGAAAUGAAUCAUUCCUGGCUGCAGAGGAGAUGGGGAAAUUGAGUAUCUAGCAAAAGAGAAUGGGAUUAUUAUAAUUGAAUUGUACUGAUCAUGAUUCAUCACUUGGAGCUGGACAUAUUGUCACCCUCAACAAAGUCAGGGCUCUGUUAGCAAGGAGGAAGAGAACAGCUGUUGGAGAGGGAAGUGACACAGACUGCCACACUUCUUAUUCCCAGCCUACCUGUCUCACUGAAUAGCAUCACCAUCUGCCCAGUGCCUGAGCCAGUAACAGAGGAGAGAGCUUGGAUUCCUUUGUUUCUCUUAUGUCCCCCAUAAAAAAAUACCACACAGUUCUGUUGACUCUACUUCCCCUGUGUACCCCUAAUCCACUCUAUUCGCCUUUAGUCACUGGUAACCUAGUUCAAGCUAACAUUGUUCACCUGAAUUACUGCAACUGCCCCCUAAAGAAACAGAAACAAUCACUUCCUUGUCUAGAACCUCCCAUCGGCUUCCUAUCUCAUCUAAAAUCCAAAUUUAUUACGCUGACCUUCCAUGCCUAGAAGAUCUAGGUUCUGCUCACUGGUCCAACUUAACUUGUUCCACUUUUCUGUUUGCCCCUGACUUCCAACCAUGCAGGGUUUCUUUCUCUUCCUCUGACGCUAACUUGUUACUGUCUUGGGAACCUUGGAACCACCUGUUUUCUCCAUCUAGAGUGCUUUGCAUUUCUGAUCUUUUCAUGACCAGCCCCUCCUUGUCAUUUAGAUCACUGUUCAAAUGUCAUCUCUUCAGAGAGAUCUUCUCUGGCCACCAAUCUAAAACAGCAAACUGGUUGGUCAUCCAUCACUUCAUCCUAUUUCAUUUCUUUAUGUUUGCACCUACCACUGUCUAACAUUAUCUUAUUUACCUCUUUAUGUGUCAUGUAUGAAAUGUAACUAUUUAUUUCCCACCUCCUUCACACUAGAAUAUCAGCUCCAUGACAGGAGAGACCUUGUGUGUUCUGUUCACAGCUGUAUUCCUAGCACCUAGAUCAAGGCACAUGGCAGGUUCUCAUCAAAUAUUUCUGAGUGAAUGAAUACAUGAGGGGAAAGAUUUUUUUUUUAAGCGGAAACUUUAGCAAUAAAAGAACAUCUGUAAACUAUUAUCAGCAUCCUUAGAGUUGUCCUUCACAGAGAAAAAUAACUUUGUUAGUUGAAGGAUGUAAAAUGUGUUAUGCUUUAAAGACAUCACAAUUAAUAAGCAAUACUAAUUUCUUCCACACAGCCUCUUUCCUCCUGUGUCCUACUUUCCAAAGCUUAACAAGCCGCAUGUCUUCAUGCUCUAUCAGUGCAGUUACUAAAUGCCUUCUCCAUUGACUUCUCUCUUUUUGCUCCAAUAAUGUGAUUACCUUUUCUGACCAUUUUCUGAAGUUCUGGGACAAUUUAAAAGAAACAUUUGGGCGAUGUCCUCCUUUCCUCCAUUUUUUGGCCAGAAUUUCAAGACGGGGAAAACCAAAAUGUUCUUGGACGAAGAGAGAAAUACUUAGCAUCUAAAAUUUUCUGCCUUUUUGUGAGGUUUUCAUAUUUCUGUAUAUGUUCUUCCUAAAGGCUAAAACCAUUUGUACUCUCUUCACCAGAAAACCAGACUUUUCGUAAGACCGUCCUUUGGGUAAAAUGUUAAAAUUGGAGAGAUUGAUCGGCAGCCUUCAUUCAUUUCCCUCCAUGAUCCUUUUAGUCCUUUCCACACCUUCUCAGUCCUGAGGCGACCUUUUGCAAGCCCAGGCUUCUGGAUCAGCAGCCGGCUGGGCCCACGGGCUCAGCCUGCAUACCAGACAUCCCGUGCAUCUGGCGGGCCAUAGCACAUUGAAAUUGUGCACCAGAAGCUUUGAGAAGUUCAACCUCUUCACACUGGGGAUACAGCAUUCUGGUGAUGGAGGUCCAGCAUACUCUAAAAUGCCCCUAUGUUUAGAAACGUUCCCCAAUACUGCUCAUAAAUUGCACACAAAGAAUCCCGGGGUGUUUGAACUUCUGGACUUGUCAACAGAAAAUAGCAAGCAAAAUGAUUCUCAUCCUCAAAGGUCUUCUGUGAAUACAUCAUAAACAAGAAUACACUGUUCCUCUGUACUUAA